CCUCAUAACAGGAAAUAUGAGACUGAUGUUCCUCUAACUGCAGCAUGACUCGCGUAUCUCUGUCUUUCAGAAUGUCUGCGAGGCUCUUAAUCUGUCUGAUUGUUUGUGUUGGUGAAUCUACAGUCUUCAGUGGAGCAGUUACUCAAAUUGCUCCAGGGGAUGAUGUUUCUUUAAGCUGCCCCUCCAGCACUGGACAGGAUCGUUGGGAAGGACCUCAAUCCAGCAACACAAUGAGAGUCAAUUUAAACAGGACAGAAUAUCUACUUAUAAAAAACUUUCAAGUUCAGAAUAAGGGAGAGUAUGUCUGCCACAGUGACCAUAUAAAAUUUGAACUGAAAGAUGCAUCAUCAAAUGACGAGUCGGUUUUGUUUCGAGCCAGUGAGGGAGAUUCACUCUUCCUCUUCUGCAAAAAUCUGCUCUCUACACCCUUAAGGGCUGCCUGGUACUGGAGACCCCACCAUUCAGAUAAAACUCUCACCCUUGGACUGAACUCUGCUCACU